rnacentral:lncRNA from 1 species
UAGCACCAUCAAAGCCUCUUAAACCUUAUCCAAUGAAUUAAUCCCGAAAAAUCAUCAGACAAAAAAGGAAAAUCAACAACAAAAUAUCCCAUACACAAAUCUUUUCAUGAUAGGUGGAUUUCCACCACACUGUUACCAUAACCUCUCGACCUCUCGAAUCCAUUAGGAUGGCCAUCUUUCCCUCCAGAAAAAGUAAAACCUUUUUUCUUUUUGUCAACACCAUAUUUUAAAUUCCAAUCCUUCAACAAUUAAUUCAAAUUUUCUAACUCCUCCAAGAUUGAAUUUCACACCACCUUUGCUCAGCUCCUCGUUGGUAGGAUGGGAGGCGUAAAACCCUUCCUUGGGACAGCAAACCGGAAGCGUGAAGGCAGUGGAGGAGGGAGAGGUGGGGUGUUGCAACUUCUUCUCUGGGAGUGGAGUUGGGGAAGCUGGG